rnacentral:lncRNA from 1 species
GAAAAGCCUGCAUCAUGUGGGAAUAAAUGAGGCUGCAUGUGAUCAAAUACCCGGAAAACAAUGGCGUAAACCAGAGCAGGGGCUGGGGCUCAGCUGUGGCCGGACACCCACCACGUGCCCAUGGGAUGCUUCCAGGUCCCCUUCUAGACCAGCAGAAGCCCAGGACACCUGACCGCCACUGGACAAGCACAUGGGGAAAAUGAGCCCCCCUUCUCCACGGGUUCCCCAACACCUCAGAAGUCCAGGAAGACACAGUGAUGAUUCAUACAUUUUGCCAAAGAGGGAUGAUUUCAUGAAAUCUCCAAAUGAUCACGAUAACAUCCCAGCCAUUAGGGAUACUAAGCCAGCCACCGAAAUUGGCAGAGAAGCCCUCAUCUUUGAGAGGAGUAGGAAGCAACACAUAUACUCUAUGUCCAGAAUUAGAAUCCAUACUGGCAUGCUGUUCCUAUACAUCAACCCGAACCCCAGCCCCCAACCCCACUCACUGGAGGCAGAAUGGUGUGGGUUCAGCCUCAGCUCAGAUGCUCACUAGCCAGAAGACCAGAAAGCACCUACCUCCCUAAGCACCAACCUCUUCAUCUAGAACAUGAAAGUCACAUCCUUCUCCUGCCUCUGUCCCCAAAGUGAGCUAAGCUCAGAAGAGCCAAGCCCAGGAAAGUAUUUAGAAAAUGGAUCCAUUGAACAGCUCUUCCAUUGCAGGUCAGAUUCUUCAAUGAAUUCUUUAAUUGAACCAUUUGUUAACUAAUAUCAUGUGUUGGCUUUUGGUUUUACUAUGUUUUAGUACAAAUAUCCAGGGACAAACUCUUCAGCUGACUACAUCUGAUGACUAAAUUGUUCAAUUGCUUCUGUAAUUUUCUCUAUCCUGGUGAUGACAUCUUGAGAGGUGAAGCCAGCUGUGCUUCUGGGUCAGGUGGGGACUUGGAGAACUUUUCUUUCUAGCUAAAGGAUUGUAAAUGCACCAAUCAGCACUCUGUGUGUAGCUAAAGGAUUGUAAAUGCACCAAUCAGCAUUCUGUAA